GGCCUACGGGGGGCUGCAGUAAGGAAUAUUGCGCAAUGGGCGAAAGCCUGACGCAGCGACGCCGCGUGGGGGAUGAAGGUCUUCGGAUUGUAAACCCCUUUCGGGAGGGAAGAUGGAAUAGGGUAACCUAUUCGGACGGUACCUCCAGAAGCAGCCACGGCUAACUUCGUGCCAGCAGCCGCGGUAAUACGAAGGUGGCAAGCGUUGUUCGGAUUUACUGGGCGUACAGGGAGCGUAGGCGGUUGGAUAAGCCCUCCGUGAAAUCUCCAGGCUUAACCUGGAAAGUGCAGAGGGGACUGUUCAGCUAGAGGAUGGGAGAGGAGCGCGGAAUUCCCGGUGUAGCGGUGAAAUGCGUAGAGAUCGGGAGGAAGGCCGGUGGCGAAGGCGGCGCUCUGGAACAUUUCUGACGCUGAGGCUCGAAAGCGUGGGGAGCAAACAGGAUUAGAUACCCUAGUAGUC
rnacentral:rRNA from 1 species